rnacentral:rRNA from 1 species
GACGAACGCUGGCGGCGUGCUUAACACAUGCAAGUCGAACGGAAAGGCCCAGCUUGCUGGGUGCUCGAGUGGCGAACGGGUGAGUAACACGUGGGUGAUCUGCCCCUAACUUCGGGAUAAGCUUGGGAAACUGGGUCUAAUACCGGAUAGGACAAUCGUUUAGUGUCGGUUGUGGAAAGUUUUUUCGGUUAGGGAUGAGCCCGCGGCCUAUCAGCUUGUUGGUGGGGUAAUGGCCUACCAAGGCGUCGACGGGUAGCCGGCCUGAGAGGGUGGACGGCCACAUUGGGACUGAGAUACGGCCAGACUCCUACGGGAGGCAGCAGUGGGGAAUAUUGCACAAUGGGCGCAAGCCUGAUGCAGCGACGCCGCGUGGGGGAUGACGGCCUUCGGGUUGUAAACCUCUUUCGACAGGGACGAAGCUUUGGUGACGGUACCUGUAUAAGAAGCACCGGCUAACUACGUG